AUUGAACGCUGGCGGCAUGCUUUACACAUGCAAGUCGGACGGCAGCACAGAGAAGCUUUGCUUCUUUGGGUGGCGAGUGGCGAACGGGUGAGUAACAUAUCGGAACGUACCGAGCAGUGGGGGAUAACUAAUCGAAAGAUUAGCUAAUACCGCAUAUAUUCUGAGGAAGAAAGCAGGGGACCAUUUGGCCUUGCGCUGUUUGAGCGGCCGAUAUCUGAUUAGCUAGUUGGUGGGGUAAAGGCCUACCAAGGCGACGAUCAGUAGCGGGUCUGAGAGGAUGAUCCGCCACACUGGGACUGAGACACGGCCCAGACUCCUACGGGAGGCAGCAGUGGGGAAUUUUGGACAAUGGGCGCAAGCCUGAUCCAGCCAUGCCGCGUGUCUGAAGAAAGGGCUUCGGGUUGUAAAGGACUUUUGUCAGGGAAGAAAAGGAUAGGGUUAAUACCCCUUCUGAUGACGUACCGAAGA
rnacentral:rRNA from 1 species